GAUGAACGCUGGCGGCGUGCUUAACACAUGCCAGUCGAACGGAAAGGCCCUUGCUUGCAGGGGUACUCGAGUGGCGAACGGGUGAGUAACACGUGGGUGAUCUGCCCUGCACUUCGGGAUAAGCCUGGGAAACUGGGUCUAAUACCGGAUAGGACCAUCGUUUAGUGUCGGUGGUGGAAAGUUUUUUCGGUGUGGGAUGAGCUCGCGGCCUAUCAGCUUGUUGGUGGGGUAAUGGCCUACCAAGGCGUCGACGGGUAGCCGGCCUGAGAGGGUGUACGGCCACAUUGGGACUGAGAUACGGCCCAGACUCCUACGGGAGGCAGCAGUGGGGAAUAUUGCACAAUGGGCGCAAGCCUGAUGCAGCGACGCCGCGUGGGGGAUGACGGCCUUCGGGUUGUAAACUCCUUUCGUCAGGGACGAAGCGAAAGUGACGGUACCUGGAUAAGAAGCACCGGCUAACUACGUG
rnacentral:rRNA from 1 species